GGGUCUGCUCUUGGACAGCACUAGGGAUUUGUUGUUUGUGCUUACCCUGAAUUUCUCACCCCACCCCAAGCGAGUCUGCUCUUACAUUAUGAAUUAGGGAUACGUCAAAACUCUGUGCGUGUGCUGAAAGCAACCAGGCCUCCAGAUAAUUGACAGAGCGGUGGACUGGCUGUCCUUGGAAUUAAUGCAGCUGAACAAAGGCUUUGUUGAAAUGAGAAAGUCUAGAAGAGGUUUGCUGAGAUCAAGAUUUAAGCUUUGUCAGACCUGUUCACCACGGCUCGGACCUGCCCAGACAAAUUGCAGUCAGCAGCUAAGCUGAGGUCCAGAGAAAGAACACCCUUGAACACAGGAAAACACUACCACCGAUCCCAUGACUUUGUCCAAGUUAUUUUUAGGAAAUUGCUUUUCUUUGGUCUACACGCAACAGCACUCAAUUUAUAGCACUGAUGGGACUGGUAGAGAUCCACAGCCCCGCUCCUGCUGAAGCCAUUGCAGAGGAUCCAGGCUGGAGGUCCCACCAGAUUUCUCCAUCCUGAGGUUCAUUUCAGCCACUUCCGAGUUUGCUUCUUCCCCCACCCUCCUGGUCAGAGCGGGCAGCAGAAAUUCCCAACAGGGCAGGGAAGCGACAGAGACAUGCAGCAGUCACUCCGCUACCCACAGGUAGGCUGAGGCACCCCUCCCUUGCAGGACAACAAGCAGAACAGGAGGGGAUGCCUCAUUUGCCUCUGCAAUAUUUCAACUCUCUCAUUGUGAUCAACUACUCGCCCACCAGCCCCCCAAACCCCCGGCUUGGGAGCCCAGACACUGCCUUGCACAAUGAGGCACCCACCUGCCAGCUUGAAGAGGGCCCCUCCUAAUUAACAAUGCUGGGCAUGGAGCACACCAUACCUGUAAUGGCUUAAACCUCACAAGACUAUAUUUUAAUUAUGGCUAUGUUACAACAGAAUCAGUUGCCUAAUCAAGCUUAAAUCAAAUGCAUAUUUAGCAAUUUUCAUGCUAGCAUUUCCAGAAAUGUGAUACUUGCACAAUGAAUUAUUUAUUUUGUAUACAUCUCAAGUAUUUUUUAAGAACAAAACCAGCAAACCAAUACUCCAGGAAGGUAAAUAAAUAAACUAACAACACUUUUCUGAAUUACCAUCUUCCCUACUGUCUUGGCUGCCAUGCGCUUAGAGCUCUCACAGUAAAAUGAAUAAAGAGCAUUCAAAACCUGUCAACCAAAUUACAGUGCACAUUUCCAUUGUAAACAUGUAUGGAAGAACUCUUUUAUUAACAACAACCUACAGUUAAUAUUUACUUUGUUUGCAAGCUUGGAGCUCCAGAGGCAUCCUUGCUGCAGCAGCUGCAAUAGGUAUUCCAAAAAUAGGUAUUUCCCUAGUAGUAGGCGAGUCUAAAGCUCAUAAAAGCUGCUGUCUAAAAAUGACAGAAUGACAACAGUAGUAGCCAGGUAUUCUGCUCAGUGCACUGUAAGCUGCUUUCAAGGACAUGCCCUCAUCUUUGUACUGAUCAGUGUCACUGUCCAGAAAAACAGUUAACCUGGAGCCCGACAAUAAGCAGGUAUAUAAAUCCCAUUGAUUUCUAGUGAAUUUUAGGAAGGAUCAUCUGAAAGGUAAUCAAGUUGACUAUGAACUUAGGUAACAUAGGCCCAGACUCUGGCAAAAUAUCUACUGACCAGGGCUAGAAUUAAGCAAGUAUUUCAGGUUAUGCAAUAUAGAUAGUGCUUUGCAAGACUGAGUAUUUUCUGUGAUUUUACAACUCUGCGCAAAUCUCUGCUUGUCUUUGCUCCAGCUUACCUGUUUAACAAGACAGUAUGAUAGCACUUACUGGGCUGUUAUGAAGCAUGCAUAAUAUUGUUUAACACUUCAGAUCCCACAAUAAAAAGUGAUGUGAGCACGAAGUAUUGCUAUAACAACAUGGCAUUAUACUGUCAAAGGAGUAAGUGUCAUUAGAGUUAUAGAGAGGAAUUUUAUUUUAAUACUGUGCAGUUCUCUAGGGAGUCCGUUAAUGAUCAGCCAUUAUAGUAACAAUAAAUUACCUUUUACAGUACUUAAGUUUUCUAUGUUAUAAGCAGUAGUCAAAAUUUAAAGAAGGAACAGAUUGAAUUCCCAGUGACACCUGAAUUUUGUACAUUGGCUGCUUUUGACAAACAGCAGCACAGAAAAGAAGAAAUCAAUACAGUAAAGCUUUCACUGGAAAUAGAAUUAUCUUAUUUCAGUUAUCCAUCAUAAUCCCCACUGAAAUCAUUAAGAUUGAAGGGAACAGAGAAAUCUGUAACAGGAUCUUGGCAAAGGCAGAGGGGGAUACUUUCUCUAAACCCUUAAACCUAUACAGUUCUUGCUAAAGCUUGAUAAGGUAUGUUCUAAUCCUUAAUGUGUAUGCCAAUCAAAUUCCAUUGUCUGUGAUUGAAAUCUAGGUCCAAAGCUAUAUUUUCCCCUAAUAUUCCAAACCAUUAGUCAAAGUCCACUGUUGAAAUUUUGUUAAUGUUUUGAGUUGGUCUCAGAUAAGAAUGAUUCAGAUUUUUAAGAUCUUCACUUAAACAAAACCCACAUAUGUACAUGACAGAUGGUGUUAGACACGUAACACAUAGCCUAUAGUAGUGUAGCUAUAUAUACAUCUUAUCUUUGCAUAGUUUUAUAGAUAAGAAUAGGUAGCAUCACUUGUACAGUUAGUCACAAGUCUGGCAGGGGACCUGAAAGCUACAGAAAACUUGGACAAACAGCUCACAAGCAUCUGGUGUCAGGAGAUUCCCAGGCACCAGAGGUUUGCAUCUGGCUUGCUCCCUUUAUAUCCCAGGCUUUUGGAAGGUGGUGUCAACUAAGACACAAUGAUAAUUCAUUGUUAUAAUGCCACUGCCAGCUGAUGGUCUCCAAGCAGAAUGGUGCAAUCUGGGCUACUGCUAGAGAAGAACUGGGAUAGUGGCCUGGCUUCAGUGCAUCACUUAGAUCAUCCUAAAGCCCUAAACAUGCAAUCUCCUGAUCAACACUUAUCCUUAGUUUUUCCUUGAGAGCCUCCAGGUCACAUACUGACUAAGCCCAGUACCUGAGACCACAGCCUCAAGGGAGGUAUGAGGCAGAGAAAAUGGGACAUGAAUUUGGAUAACAGAGCAAAGAUCCCAUGCUCCUAGUAAAUGGAAUCAGCUGAAAUCACAUCUUGACUCAUUGUCACUGUCAGUAAUUAAAUCAUGCACAUUUUUGAAGACUACCGCGCAUGUUUGCCUUUCAGCUUUGUCAUAUGUCUGAAAAAAAAUCAGUAAUACUAAAAUACAUUGUUUUACAGAGCAGAAAGUUAGACUAUACCACCUUCCAUGUGAAUUUGGUUCUUUGUAAUUGGGUAAGCUUGGCCUGCUUUUAAAAAUCUGCUUUAAGGUUUGCAGAUUCCUUAAAGGUUGUUCAGAAAAGAAAAACCUUCAAAGACAAAUAGGCUAGUCCUGGGUAAGUGCAGCACUGGAGACAGGGGUACAAGACAGUUGACUCUGUUAUUCACAAACUAAGAGAGGUAGAAAACUACUUGUGAAAAAGGGACUAAUUCACUAAUUUAAUGAACCUAAUCUUCUGGACAAUUGCUAAACACCUAAAGGAAAUUUGAAAUUUAAUAUUAAGUAAGACUGCUAUUCCCAGAGUAAAUAACAGAUAAGUCUCUUAAUGCACUGGGAAAUCCAUUCCAAUCUUUUGCAGCUGUGUCCUUUGAUAUGGGCAAACAACAAAUACAUUGGGACAUAUCUCUCCCAGUGCACCUCUACUGGCAUCAGAGAUCAAUGUGACCUAUAGUAUUUAAGUGGGGUUUACCCUAACACGAACUCACUCAUAAGCCUGAUUCCAAUCCAUUUUUAAGGAAUGCAGAGGCUGAAGCAGAUGUCACUGACAUUAGCAUCAGGCUCGGUAACUGAGUCAUUACAUUUGAUACAGGAUCUACUUAUAUCCCAGCUAAGAUUAACUAGAACAUGUGGUUACCUGUCAGACAGAUCUUGUUACACAAAUAACUGUCAUGCCUUCCAAACCACAGCAGUGAGAUAUGCCACCUCCAUCAUCUGUAGAAGUCAGACUGGCAGCUGCAGCGUUAGAACUAGCAUUAAAAUCAGCAUUAAAUGAAAGAAGUUUAAAAUGCACCUUCUUUAUGCUGGAAAAUGAACUCCUCUACUUGUCCUCUAACCAAAGUCUGUGCACAGCAGUAUUUGAGAGAUAUCUGCCAUUUGUGUUCCAAAGUGGGUUCAUUUUAGGGCUAGUGGUACACUGCUAUAUUGCUGUACACUAGAGGUGCUUCAUACUAGGAGAACAGAGAUUUCUAUUGAUUUAUUAGUUAAAACUGAAGUUACUCCCCUAAUCAACAUGUUUUCCCCUGCAAAUAUUGAGAGCAGCCCACUCUAUUACUUUGUUUCUUGUGGUUUUCCUUUUUUUGAAUCAUCUCAACUCCUGCAGCUUGUACAGGUUGAUUCAGUAAGCAAGUUCCAGAAUCCCUGACCAACACAGCUGCACCAGCUAAAGCCAGUACACCAAAAAUCAUUUGUGCAUUGUCUUCAAGUGAAUUCAGUGUGCAGCUCUGCAGGCAUAGAGCCACUCUGGGAACAUGGUUGGAAUAGUAGAGAAACAUUCCCAUUUUGGUGAAGUACUCCUACGUACACAUGCCUUGCAAUACAAAAAUACUUAGAAGGAAAACUGAUGCUAGAUAUAAUGAAGCUUCAGGGGAUUAAAUUUAAAUAUGUAAAAAAACAGUUGGAAUAUCAGACUAAAAUAUCUAGAAGGUAGUAGGGUAGGCUCACUAUUGAGACUUCCUUUAGUAAACCUGCACGUGUCUGUCAGAUACAUACAUUAUCGAGCAACCAUGCACAGAAAUUACCAUGAAUAUUUACCAGUAUUUGUCUGGACUAAAGGAUCAGACCUUAUCCAUAAAAUGCAAUCACACUCUUCAAAUAUUGGAAAAGUAGAAAAGUUUCUAGAGGCGUUAAAACAAGGCUGGAUAGGAUGUUGCUAAAUACAUGGAGCUAUUCUACAACCAGCUCAAGCCAGAACACAGCUUCCAUUCCUACACAGUAUUUUGCUGGACGGAUUAGCUGUCAGUGGCCUGCGCUAGAGCUUUGCUCCACCCUGCAUGUCCAUACAUCUUAGCAAGAUCCUUAUGAAAGGCUCUUUCAACUUUACCUACGCAAGGCUGUUCAUCAUGUACCUGCAUCCCCAUGAAACCACACUGUGCUGGUGAAUCAUUCUGUUGGACUGCUAAGACCCAGGCAGUCACAUCCCAUGACAGAGGGUGAUGCAAGUCACUUGGCAAUGAACCUAAUCUCCUUACUGCUGAGGGGAUGGAGGGAGUAAAGCACUGAAGCUUUCGAAAUGUAAUUAAAAACAUGUGUUAUCUUCCAAAUGACUGCAUGAUCUUAGAAUGGUUCUGGGAGCAUUUAAAGUAAACUGUGCCCCAUAAAACAAGACCACAGACUACAACAAACUUGAAAAAUAUUAAUAAGGUACUGUCUAAUUAAAGUUAAUUUGUCUGGAUUAAUUAGUGGACUUUUGGGAACUUGUUUGUAGAGCUUCGUAGAUAUGAGACAUCUUCAGUACUGACUACAGGUCAUUCAGUUACUACCAAGACUAAUCCCAAAAUGCUUGAGAUCAACAGGCACAUGUGGAUACAUAAAAAUCUCCUUCUAAAUAUCCUUUAAAAAAACCCUAAUUUCUAGCUGGGAAGAGGACUCAGACAAUGGCCAAAUGCUAAGAAAUCUGAAGGAAGAAAUCCUGUAAAAUCCCUACGUAUGUAACAUGCAGAUUUGCAUUUUAAAUGCAAUUUCUGAUUUCCUUAGAGUACCUAAUGCUGAGAACACAAAAUUUUUAUACAAUCCAAAAGCACUGAAAAAUUUUAAUGGCUUUCUCAACACGUACUGAAAGAUGUUGCUGAAGGAUGCAUGGCAGGACCACAGACCACUGGACAGAUUGUUUUGUUUUGUAUAUGGCUUCUCUCAUACAGCACUUUGGAUUAGAUAUUAGCAUAAGGACCAUCGAAAGGGACUGUCAUACAUUAGAACCCACACAAAAAGCAAUAACGUAUCUCUCUGUAAAUCUGAUUAUCUGACUGGGCUUCCCAAAGAGGAGUCCAACUUUUACUGCAUUAAAGAAAAGGCACGAUUGCCACCACUGCCGCUAUUGCAAUGCUAUUUUUGAGCAGAUAGGCAUGACAUGGAGAUCACCCCUGAAUACUGUCAUUCUCAUUGCUUUAGUCCAGGCUGUUUCAAUAACACCAGAAAAUGUUUUAUUCAUAUUCAUAAUAAAGCUUCAGAAGAAUGCA